AAAGAAAAAAAGGAAUAAUAGUUACGCAACCGAAGAAGAUACGAUCAGGAUCAACUACUUCCCUUCGAAGGGUUUUUGCAUUUUCUUUUGUAAUUUCAACGACUUUGGACGCAAUUUUCCUACUUAUACUUACCUUCCCCGAUGAACUUUUAUGUGGAUGACGUUCAUUUCUCUUUACGCUGAUCGUGGUUCUGAAAUUUGGUGAAUAGACCCAACUUUUGGGAGGCCGGAGGGGCAAAGAGGACAAUCUCAGUGUUGAAAUUCACCGUUCCAGGAGGAUUGAAUGAUCGAGACGGCACGAAUUGGAGGAUUCAAUCUUAGGGUUUCGGAUUUCUUGUGGAGUAGUUGUUGGCUGGAGUUGAAACCUGGGGAGUGCAACCUCUCGGCUACGGCGCUGUUUCUGUUGCGCUGACUGGCUGGUGCCAUAUUGGCGCUCCCGGAGAAUGGACGAUAUGGAUAUUGGUUCCCCUUCUGAAUCUGCGCCACUUAAGCCGCGUGAUCGAAUUCUGCGGCGGCUUGCUGUACUUGGAGUUCCUGAUGAGCUAUUGGAUCAACUUUUUCGUGGUUUAGUUUCUUUUGUCAAGGACAACAAGUUUCUUAUACCGCAGCUGGUAACUGCAAUUUUGCCUGCCGAUGUCGAAGUGGUAGAAGUUAUACGUGAUGCUAAAGCAGGGUCCAAAAAGUCUCUGACAGGCCCAACCAUGAAAGCUCAAUUCCGUGAAAGCAUGAUGUGGUUACAGUGGUUGAUGUUUGAAGGCGAACCAGCAUAUGCUCUGAAGAAUCUGUCAAAAAUGAGUGUUGGCCAGCGUGGUGUAUGUGGCGCUGUUUGGGGACAUAACGAUAUAGCUUAUAGGUGCCGAACUUGUGAACACGAUCCAACUUGUGCAAUUUGCGUCCCUUGCUUUCAGAGUGGAAACCACCAGGACCACGAUUACUCCAUAAUUUAUACUGGAGGUGGUUGCUGCGAUUGUGGUGAUGCGACGGCGUGGAAGCGGGAGGGGUUUUGCUCAAAGCAUAAAGGUGCAGAACAGAUACAACCACUUCCAGAAGAACUUGUUAAAUCUGUAGGGCCUAUACUUGAUGCACUCUUCACUUCUUGGAAAAACAAACUCUUAUCUGCAGAAGAUAUUAGCGUGGAAGACCCUAAAUUGAGUGACCGUGUUACAGAGCAUAAAAAGGUUGCAAACGAGUUAACAUUUGCUGUGGUUGAGAUGCUUUUAGAUUUCUGCAAGUACAGUGAAAGCUUACUCAGCUUUGUUUCAAAAAGGGUGAUUUCUUCAGCUGGCUUAUUGGAUAUUUUGGUGAGGUUAGAGAGGCUGUUAACUGAUAGCGUAGUGAAGAAAGUCCAUGAGUUACUUCUUAAGUUGCUGGGAGAACCUAUAUUUAAAUAUGAAUUUGCAAAAGUUUUUUUGAAUUAUUAUCCUACUGUUAUCAACGAAGCGAUAGAAGACAGUAGUGACCAUGUGCUUAAAAAGUAUCCACUAUUGCCAACUUUCUCAGUGCAAAUAUUCACUGUUCCAACACUUACUCCUCGUUUGGUAGUGGAAAUGAACUUAUUGUCCAUCCUCUUGGGAUGUUUAGAAGAUAUUUUCAUUUCUUGCGUAAGCGAAGAUGGUCGCUUGCAGGUUGUAAAGUGGAGUAAUUUGUAUGAAACCACCAUCCGUGUAGUUGAAGAUGUUAGAUUUGUCAUGAGCCAUGCUGUAGUGCCCAGAUAUGUAAUCUAUGAGCAGCAGGAUAUCCUAAGAACUUGGUUGAGACUGCUGACUUUUGUGCAAGGAAUGGAUCCCCAGAAGAGAGAAACAGGCCUCCACAUAGAAGAAGAAAAUGAAAAUGUUCAUUUGCCUUUUGGUUUAGAUCAUUCCGUUGCUAACAUUCAUUCCUUAUUGGUGAAGGAAGCAUUUUCUGCUGCUAGUAGUAGUUGUGAAGAUGCAGCUGAUGCAAUGUAUUUCCAAACGUACAAGCAGAACGUAGAUGAUAUAGAUAGUGUUAGACAUGCUAAAGUAGGACGUCUAUCACAGGAAAGUGCUGCGUGUAAUGUAUUGGGAAAGAAUAGUACAUCCACAUCUGCAUCAAGAGUUGAUGAAGUUUGUUCAGAUGCAAUUUCAUCAACUAUUAUGUGGCUGACUUACGAGUGCUUGAAGAUUAUUGAUAGUUGGUUGGGAACUGAAAAUGUAUCUGGAAGCAUUCCAAACAUGCUUGAUGAGAGCAUUAGUCUGACACCUAGUUGCAAAUUUUAUUCAUCAAGAAAAAUGUCUGCCCUGGAAUCGAAGAAAAUUCCAUACAAGAUGGAAAAGGGUAAAUUUGUUUUUGAGAAGCUUCCUAGAAGAAGCAAAUACCAUAAUAGGCAAUAUUCCUCACGUAUGUACGGUGGCCUUCAAAUGAGUAUUGACAAUGAGCAUGGUAUAGGUCUUGGAGAAGACCACCAGUUGAUGGAUGUGACCAAUGAUACAGUGACUGAUGAAGAUUAUGCCAUGGAGAUUGAUGCUCUCCAUUUUCUAAGCUUAUCUGCUUGGCCAAACAUUGUUUAUGAUGUUAGUUCACAGGACAUAUCUAUUCACAUUCCAUUACAUCGGCUGCUUUCCUUGCUUUUACAGAAGGCAUUGGGAAGCUGUUUUAAUGAAUCUGUGCUGCCAAGUGCAACAGGUGCUAGUUCCUCAAAUUUGUCAUCUGAAUAUGUGGACUUCUUUAAAAGUAUUCUUACAGACUGUCAUCCAUACGGUUUUUCUUCAUUUGUUAUGGAGCAUCCUCUACGCAUUAAAGUUUUUUGUGCUGAGGUUAAUGCUGGAAUGUGGCGGAGGAACGGAGAUGCUGCCCUAUUGUCAUGUGAGUUGUAUCGAUCAAUCCGGUGGUCAGAACAAUGUCUGGAGCUUGAUCUCUUUCUGUUGCAGUGUUGUGCGGCAAUGGCUCCACCUGAUCUUUAUGUCAGUAGAAUUAUAGAACGUUUCCGGCUAUCAGACUAUCUUUCCCUAAAUGUUGAACGCCCUAGUGAGUACGAGCCUAUUUUAGUGCAAGAGAUGCUCACAUUAAUCAUACAAGUAGUCAAUGAAAGGAGAUUUUGUGGACUUACAAUAGCCGAAAGCUUGAAAAGAGAGUUGAUUUACAAGUUGGCAAUUGGAGAUGCUACUCAUAGUCAAUUGGUAAAAGCACUCCCUCGUGAUCUUUGCAAGUGUCAUCAGCUGCAGGAAAUUUUAGAUACAAUUGCUGUCUAUUCCAAUCCCUCUGGAUUUAAUCAGGGGAUGUAUUCUUUGCAUUGGAAGUAUUGGAAAGAAUUGGAUCUGUACCACCCUCGUUGGAGUUUACGAGAUCUGCAGGUUGCUGAAGAACGAUAUUUGAGGUCAUGUGGUGUCUCUGCUUUGACCUCACAGCUACCUAAAUGGACAAAUAUCUAUCCUCCUUUUAGGGGAUUGGCAAGAAUAGCUACUUGUAAAACAGUCCUUCAGUUCAUUCGUGCUGUGCUGUUUUAUUCUGUUUUUGCUGAGAUAUCAACUAAAUCGCGGGCCCCAGAUAGUGUCCUGUUAAGUGCUCUGCACUUGCUAGCGUUGGCAUUGGACAUUUGCCUUCAGCAAAAGGAAUCAAGUGAUCAAUCAUUUUAUGCUCAAGAUUCUAUUCCUUUGCUUCUUUUUGCUGCCGAAGAAAUUGAUGAGGGUUUAGCAUAUGGUUUCGGCAGACAAAGCUUGUUAUCUCUUCUUGUUUUAUUAAUGAAAAUGCACAGGAAGGAAGGACGAGAGAACUUGUUGGAGGCUGGAAGUUGCAACCUAUCCUCUCUGGUUGAAAGCUUGUUGAAGAAAUUUUCAGAGAUUGAUUCUCAUUGCAUGGGCAAAGUCCAGCAACUUGCUCCUGAAAUCCUUGGUUACUUGUCUCAAUCUGUGCCUACUAGUAAUACUAAUAGACCGAGUGGAACUUCUGAUAGUGAGAAGCGGAAGGCAAAGGCUCGAGAGAGACAAGCUGCUAUAUUGGAAAAAAUGAGAGCCGAGCAAUCAAAAUUUUUGGCCAGUGUCGAUGCCUCUGUGAAUGAUGAUGAUGAUAGAGAAAUUGGGCAAGAAUCUGAGAAUCCCAAUGUUAGUGACAUUGCCGAACAGUCUGAAACUGUUUGCUCACUUUGCCAUGAUUCUAGUUCCAGUGUUCCCAUAUCUUUUCUGAUUCUUUUGCAGAAAUCAAAGCUCGUGAGUUUAAUUGAUCGAGGUCCCGUGUCAUGGGAUCAACCUUACUGGAGAGAUGAACAUGCCUCAACGGUGUCAAAAAGGGACCUUGAUCAAUCAGGACUAAGCCCCUCCUCUGCAGGUUCAGGAGUGAUUUCAUCGCCGCAGUUAGCAGAGCUCAUUCAGAAUGCAGUAAAAGAAUAUUCCAAUCAUGGACUACCUGGGGAAGUUGGCGCUUUCCUGGAAUUUGUCAAGUCUCAUUUUCCUCCCUUACGAGACAUUCAAGUGCCUGGUACAUCAAAUGUUAGAGGAGAAAAGAUAAUAUUCAGCUUUGAUAAGCUGGAAGAGGAUAUUUAUUUAUCUGUUCGAAAAGAAAUGCAUGAUACUCUGCAUUCUAAAUUCAACGAGGAUGAUAAAGCUUCUGAAGUUGCAAGUGGAGAAGAUUCCAAGUCUGUGCUGCAUGUAAAAUAUAUAGCUGCUCUAUCAAGAGAGCUGGCAGAAAAUCAUUCAACUUCUGAAAGCUCUCAUAACAUUCACACGCCAGUAGAAUCUUUGCAGCCUACCACAUUUAAUGAAAUUGGUCCUACAGAUUGUGAUGGAAUUUAUCUUUCUUCUUGUGGGCAUGCUGUGCAUCAAGGAUGUCUUGAUCGAUACUUAUCUUCAUUGAAGGAAAGGUUUGCUCGAAGAAUAGUAUUUGAAGGAGGGCAUAUUGUUGAUCCUGAGCAGGGAGAAUUCUUGUGCCCGGUGUGCAGACGUCUUGCAAAUUCCACUUUGCCUGCAUUUCCUAGGGAACUUCAAAAGAUUUGGAACCCGGCGACGAGUUCAGUUGGUAGUUCAUCACAUGUUUCAGGUCAUCUUAACAAAUCAAGUGAAAAAGUGAAUCCACUUUAUAUUCAGCAAGCAGUGGCUCUCCUGCAAUAUGCAGCUAAUGCUGUUGGGAAGAAUAAAGUUCUUAAAGAUAUUUCUGUACAUAGACAUAGGAAAGUGAGUCGCAAUCUCGAAGCUGUGUCCCUUGUUCUGUCUAAGUUGUAUUUUUCUGGGAAACAGGAUAAGUUAAUAAGCUCCUCCAGGGUUAAUCCAUCGAUUCUUAUGUGGGACACUCUCAAGUAUUCCCUCAUAUCAAUGGAAAUUGCUGCUCGUAGUAAGACUGAUAUGAAUCCCAAUAUUGGCAUUAAUACAUUGUAUAAGGAGCUAAAAAUUUCUGGUGGUUUUGUAUUGUCUUUAUUGCUAAAAGUGAUACAAAGCGUUAAGUGUGAGGAUUCUCUCCUUUUGCUUCAAAGAUUUUGUGGUAUUCAAAGGUUUGCAGAUUCCAUCUGCUCUGGAACGUCCAAUGAAAAUGCUAGUGACUCAUGUGGACGAGGUAUCCUCCACAUCUUGACCAGCCUUCAUGUGGAAUUGCCACAAUUUGAUAUCCAGUUCUUGAGCCGAGGAUCCGAUCCUGUUCUUGCUCAUGACCCAUUCGCAUCAUUGAUGUGGGUUAUGUUUUGCCUUCCUUUCCCCUUUUUAUCAUGCAGGGAAUCCCUGCUUUCCCUUGUGCAUAUCUUCUACCUAGUUUCUGUGGCCCAGGCUAUAAUCACAUCUUUCAUCAAGUCUCAAUGCAAGGUAGAUGGGUUGGGUUCUAGUGAUUGCUUGAUCGCUGAUAUUUGCAAAAUUAUGGGAGAAUCUGAAUGUGCUCGACUGUAUUUUGUUUCAAAUUACACAGAGCCGUCUUGUAAUGUUAAGGAUAUGAUACGUAGCUUGACUUUCCCUUAUCUUCGGAGAUGUGCACUACUUCUAAAACUACUAAGUUCUUCUGCACGAGUGCCAAUUUUUUAUGGAGAGACUGCUUUGGAAACAUAUCUUGCGGGUAACAAUAUAAUUGACAACAUCACAGUGGAACUCAACGAAAUUGAGAAGCUUGAGAAAAUGUUCGAGAUUCCUCCAUUGGAUACUGUUCUUAAGGAUGGAACCUCGCGGUUAUUUGUUUCGAAAUGGUUUUGUCAUUUUGAUAAAGAAUUUGAAUUUCAGAGGUCUAAAAUUAUAAAGCACUGCACACCUGCCGUUCCUUUUCAAUUAAUUCGUUUACCUCAUGUCUACCACGAUCUAUUGCAGAGAUACAUAAAAAAGCGAUGCCCUGACUGCAAACAUGUUAUUGAUGAUCCUGCAUUAUGUCUGCUAUGUGGUAGACUGUGCACACCAAGCUGGAAAUCAUGUUGCAGGGAAAGUGGAUGCCAAGCUCAUGCAAAUGUGUGCGCUGCUGGCACUGGUGUAUUUUUGCUGAUUAGGAGGACAACAAUUCUACUGCAGAGAUCUGCACGUCAGGCUCCUUGGCCAUCUCCUUAUUUGGAUGCUUUUGGUGAGGAGGAUACUGAAAUGCGUCGGGGAAAACCAUUGUAUUUGAAUGAAGAGCGUUAUGCUGCCCUAUCAUAUAUGGUUGCUUGUCAUGGCCUUGAUCGAAGUUCAAAGGUUCUAGGCCAGACUACAAUUGGGUCUAUCUUCAUGAUUUAAUCUGGAGUAUAUUUUGAGGUGAUUCCUUUGGCCAUUCACGGUUCAGAUUUUGCACUUACCUGUUAUAGUUCGUGCUUGAGUUCCUCGUCCUAGUUUGGCUAAUAGAAAAGUAUUCUACACCGUGAAGGCAUUGAUAGGGAUGUCGGAUACAGGUUGUGCAGUAGUUAUUGGUUUUCAAGAAUCCAUACUCCUACAGAAAGAGUUCUCGUCCACAAAUCUUUUCAGAGGUGAAAAAAUGACCCUUUUAUUUUCACAUAUAGGAGCCAAGAAGAUCCAGAGUGACUCAGAGGAUGUCAAAAAAUGCAUACUAUCACCUUUCCUUGAGCUGUGUGUUGGAAGUAGUGCGCUUGUACAUAGGGAUUAGGGAGGUCGAAGCAUUGUUUUGAAGUUGCCUUAAAUUUCUGGAUUAGGAUCGUUGGCAUCUUUCCAUUCAGAGGGUGGAGAUGGGAAUGGUGGUCAUUUUGUACUUGGUUAAAUCUGGCAGAAUCAAUUUGGAAUCAGUUUGUGGAAUUAUAAUGGAAGGAUUAAGAUCUCCAGAAAGAGAGACUGAGUUCUGCCCUUUUUUUUUCUUUUUUCUUUUUUCUUUUUAUAUGUAGUUUAAUGUUUAAACAAUUGUUAGAAGAAAUCGGCACAAUGAAGCUUCUAAAAGUACAUAGGGGAAAGUAGAAGUGAAAUUAAUUGUGCAUUUCUAGUCUACUCAAUUUUUUAUUUGUUAAAUCUUUAAUGUAAAAUAUCAACAUUCGCUUGUAUUUUUCUUGUCUUUUUAUUCGAACUCGAUCAUACAUCUCCAACUUUCUCCUUUUCA